rnacentral:rRNA from 1 species
GACGAACGCUGGCGGCGUGCUUAACACAUGCAAGUCGAACGGAAAGGCCCUGCUUUUGUGGGGUGCUCGAGUGGCGAACGGGUGAGUAACACGUGAGUAACCUGCCCUUGACUUUGGGAUAACUUCAGGAAACUGGGGCUAAUAUCGGAUAGGAGCUCCUGCUGCAUGGUGGGGGUUGGAAAGUUUCGGCGGUUGGGGCUGGACUCGCGGCUUUUCAGCUUGUUGGUGGGGUAGUGGCUUACGAAGGCUUUGACGGGUAGCCGGCCUGAGAGGGUGACCGGCCACAUUGGGACUGAGAUACGGCCCAGACUCCUACGGGAGGCAGCAGUGGGGAAUAGUGCACAGUGGGCGGGAGCCUGAUGCAGCAACGCCGCGUGCGGGAUGACGGCCUUCGGGUUGUAAACCGCGUUCGCCUGGGACGAAGCGUGAGUGACGGUAAUGGGUAAAGAAGCACCGGCUAACUACGUG